UGACAAUAGUACUGGGAGGGUCCUUUGGUCUCCGUCAUGGGAUCGGAUAUCUAACAUCAUGGCGCGACUCUGACGACUGGACAAUCUAUCCACGGCCUACCAGUUCCUCAUGUACACGCACGGCACUGGCUGCCUGCUAGGCCCACCCAUCGCAGGUGCAGUGUUUCAUCACACCCGCUCCUACGCGAUGCCGUUCUUCACGGCAGGUGCCGCUGUCAUCGCUAGCUCCAUCCUAUUCUUCAUCAUCAUGUAUGGGACGAAGGAGAAGAAAAAUAACGAACGCUACCCGCUGGAGAAGAUGAAAAUUAACCUGCUGCGUCUGCUGACGUGCUUGUAGCUUCUUCGCUCUGACGCGGCGAGAUGCGAUUGACUCCCUGCGAGCGGCGUGCGACGGUCCGUCUGUCCGUCCAUCGGCCGCGACCACGAACUGGAUGGAUGCAUCGUGUUAGCUACGAGUAGUGGGUGCGGACAGUAUUGCUGUACCAGGGUAAUAGGCGCAUACAGUGCUGUCGUACCAGGGUAGUGGAUGUACACAGUAUUGUUGUACCAGGGUAGUGGAUGUGGACAGUAUUGUUGUACCAGGGUAGUGGAUGUGGACAGUAUUGUUGUACCAGGGUAGUUGAUGUGGAGAGUAUUGCUGUACCAGGGUAGUAGAUGUACACAGUAUUGCUGUACCAGGGUAGUGGAUGUACACAGUAUUGUUGUACCAGGGUAGUUGAUGUACACAGUAUUGCUGUACCAAGGUAGUGGAUGUACACAGUAUUGUUGUACCAGGGUAGUUGAUGUACACAGUAUUGCUGUACCAAGGUAGUUGAUGUACACAGUAUUGUUGUACCAGGGUAUAGACAGCUUACAUUGCCAUAGACAGUGCCAUCUUAACAGGGUAGUAGACGUAGACAGUAAUGUUGUUGCAGGGUAGAGCCAUCUUUCGUGGAUGUUAAACGAUAAGAUAUCGUACCUCGGCAGACCAUGACGCAUGCAGCCCUGCUGGGCUUCUCCAAGAUCCCAUAUAGAAUGUCGACAGGAGCGUUGUUGCGAGGGGGGGGAAGGCCCUCGCUUCUCGUGUAAAAGAAAAGAAACCGGCUGGUCUGUGUUUUUGAGCGGCGUCGGUUGCCUCUAACUGGAGCAGCAGCGAGUGUGUAUGUGUGUUUUUUUUUUAGAACUGGGUUACCAGGCAGACUGGCCGUUGCCUUAUAUGACACACACGCACACACACUCAGCAGAUUGAAUUUCAUCGUGGCCAAACUCUGCUGCCAUCUAUCGGUAGAAAAAUGCAUAAAGCGGGAGUAUCGAUAUGGACAUCCGCAUAUCCGGCAGCCGAGUUGGCCAUUGUGUAACAUGCAUAUCAAAUAGUAUUUAGCAUAUUAUCCAUAUGUAAUGGAUGGGUACGGAUCAUGGGGGAAAUUAUACAACGCGUAAUUAGGGAAGGGGUUAUCAAAAGAUCUAUAAAUAAUUGUUAACUUGCACACCUCUGUAAAUAGUGAGUUGUUUUCUACUUUUUUAUUUUUAAUGUUAUCUUGUAAAAAAAUGUAAAGUAUACCACAAAUGAAUCUUUGCUAGUCAUUACAGAUUUCUUCUAGCCGCGCCUAUAGCAACUUACAUGAUGUUCAUUGACAUUCAAUUCCGUGUCAAGUUGCUUCUGCCUUUGUAAUCGGCAGCAAUUUCUUACCCGAUAUCAACAAAUCCUCCCAAAGUCUGUGACUCGUAUAAUCGGAGUUUCGGAGUGAAUGAUUAUACGUGCAUGCGCGCGUGCAUAUUAUGUUCUAGUAUGUACGUGUUCAUUGUAGUAGACGUUGGACUUAUAUCUUUAGACGACGCUAUGCUGUAUUAUUGUGACGAAUGUGUCGAAAGUCGAUUUGUUGGUCAGGCGUUUGUCUGCGUGUUUUUCAAUGCAACUAUGAUACUUUACUUUUGAAGUGUGUAGGACUUGAGCCUGUAAGAUCAUCUCUUCUGCUCAUAUCAGAGCGGUCUGUUGUGCCGCUACGCAGUGAAAAACUUAGCUUGUGUGGUUUUUUCAACGCAAAAAGUCGUUUCAAUACUCAAUACUUGUAAAUGUGUUAGUGGUUGUGGACACAGAAUUAUUUCAUGCGUUAGUGGGCAUCAGAUAGUGGAUCCCUCAUCUUGCGUGCCCGUGUCUUAGAAGAUAGCUAUACAUGAGAGCAUGAACACUUGCCCUCUUCUCUUCUGUCCUCUCUCUGUCUCCUCUCUUUUUCUGCUUUCGGAAGUUUUUCGUCUCGUUCGCUACUACUCCGUUCCAAUCCAUUGCGUAAGAAAUAAGGCGAGAUAUCACGAGAUAUCGUGGCUCGUCUGCAGAAAUACAUGAUGAAAUAUUCGAGCAGGAAUAUUAACGAUUCGUGGACACGAGUUUAAAAUGGUUGAUGAUAUCACACACUCACACACGCACGCACGCACGCACGCACGCACGCACACACACACACACGCACGCACGC
rnacentral:lncRNA from 1 species